GAGUUUGAUUAUGGCUCAGAUUGAACGCUGGCGGCAGGCUUAACACAUGCAAGUCGAACGGUAGCAGGAGAAAGCUUGCUUUCUUGCUGACGAGUGGCGGACGGGUGAGUAAUGCUUGGGAAUCUGGCUUAUGGAGGGGGAUAACUACUGGAAACGGUAGCUAAUACCGCGUAAUAUCGAGAGAUUAAAGACUGGGACCUACGGGCCAGUUGCCAUAAGAUGAGCCCAAGUGGGAUUAGGUAGUUGGUGGGGUAAAGGCCUACCAAGCCCGCGAUCUCUAGCUGGUCUGAGAGGAUGACCAGCCACACUGGAACUGAGACACGGUCCAGACUCCUACGGGAGGCAGCAGUGGGGAAUAUUGCACAAUGGGGGGAACCCUGAUGCAGCCAUGCCGCGUGAAUGAAGAAGGCCUUCGGGUUGUAAAGUUCUUUCGGUGGUGAGGAAGGUAUCAACUUUAAUAGAGUUGUAA
rnacentral:rRNA from 1 species